rnacentral:rRNA from 1 species
GACGAACGCUGGCGGCGUGCUUAACACAUGCAAGUCGAACGGUAAGGCCCUUCGGGGUACACGAGUGGCGAACGGGUGAGUAACACGUGGGUGAUCUGCCCUGCACUUCGGGAUAAGCCUGGGAAACUGGGUCUAAUACCGGAUAGGACCACUGCCUGCAUGGGUGGUGGUGGAAAGCUUUUGCGGUGUGGGAUGGGCCCGCGGCCUAUCAGCUUGUUGGUGGGGUGAUGGCCUACCAAGGCGACGACGGGUAGCCGGCCUGAGAGGGUGACCGGCCACACUGGGACUGGGAUACGGCCCAGACCCCUACGGGAGGCAGCAGUGGGGAAUAUUGCACAAUGGGCGCAAGCCUGAUGCAGCGACGCCGCGUGAGGGAUGACGGCCUUCGGGUUGUAAACCUCUUUCAGCAUCGACGAAGCGAAAGUGACGGUAGGUGCAGAAGAAGGACCGGCCAACUACGUGCCAGCAGCCGCGGUAA